rnacentral:rRNA from 1 species
GGUUAAGCGACUAAGCGUACACGGUGGAUGCCCUGGCAGUCAGAGGCGAUGAAGGACGUGCUAAUCUGCGAAAAGCGUCGGUAAGGUGAUAUGAACCGUUAUAGCCGGCGAUGUCCGAAUGGGGAAACCCAGUGCAAUUCGUUGCACUAUCGUUAACUGAAUACAUAGGUUAACGAGGCGAACCGGGGGAACUGAAACAUCUAAGUACCCCGAGGAAAAGAAAUCAACCGAGAUUCCCCCAGUAGCGGCGAGCGAACGGGGAGCAGCCCAGAGUCUGAAUCAGCUUGUGUGUUAGUGGAACGGUCUGGAAAGUCCGACGGUACAGGGUGAUAGUCCCGUACACCAAAAUGCACAGGCUGUGAACUCGAAGAGUAGGGCGGGACACGUGGUAUCCUGUCUGAAUAUGGGGGGACCAUCCUCCAAGGCUAAAUACUCCUGACUGACCGAUAGUGAACCAGUACCGUGAGGGAAAGGCGAAAAGAACCCCGGCGAGGGGAGUGAAAAAGAACCUGAAACCGUGUACGUACAAGCAGUGGGAGCACCUUCGGGUGUGACUGCGUACCUUUUGUAUAAUGGGUCAGCGACUUAUAUUCUGUAGCAAGGUUAACCGUAUAGGGGAGCCGCAGGGAAACCGAGUCUUAACUGGGCGUUAAGUUGCAGGGUAUAGACCCGAAACCCGGUGAUCUAGCCAUGGGCAGGUUGAAGGUUGGGUAACACUAACUGGAGGACCGAACCGACUAAUGUUGAAAAAUUAGCGGAUGACUUGUGGCUGGGGGUGAAAGGCCAAUCAAACCGGGAGAUAGCUGGUUCUCCCCGAAAGCUAUUUAGGUAGCGCCUCGUGAACUCAUCUUCGGGGGUAGAGCACUGUUUCGGCUAGGGGGUCAUCCCGACUUACCAACCCGAUGCAAACUACGAAUACCGAAGAAUGUUAUCACGGGAGACACACGGCGGGUGCUAACGUCCGUCGUGAAGAGGGAAACAACCCAGACCGCCAGCUAAGGUCCCAAAGUCAUGGUUAAGUGGGAAACGAUGUGGGAAGGCACAGACAGCCAGGAUGUUGGCUUAGAAGCAGCCAUCAUUUAAAGAAAGCGUAAUAGCUCACUGGUCGAGUCGGCCUGCGCGGAAGAUGUAACGGGGCUAAACCAUGCACCGAAGCUGCGGCAGCGACACUAUGUGUUGUUGGGUAGGGGAGCGUUCUGUAAGCCUGCGAAGGUGUGCUGUGAGGCAUGCUGGAGGUAUCAGAAGUGCGAAUGCUGACAUAAGUAACGAUAAAGCGGGUGAAAAGCCCGCUCGCCGGAAGACCAAGGGUUCCUGUCCAACGUUAAUCGGGGCAGGGUGAGUCGACCCCUAAGGCGAGGCCGAAAGGCGUAGUCGAUGGGAAACAGGUUAAUAUUCCUGUACUUGGUGUUACUGCGAAGGGGGGACGGAGAAGGCUAUGUUAGCCGGGCGACGGUUGUCCCGGUUUAAGCAUGUAGGCUGGUUAUCCAGGCAAAUCCGGAUAAUCAAGGCUGAGGUGUGAUGACGAGGCACUACGGUGCUGAAGUAACAAAUGCCCUGCUUCCAGGAAAAGCCUCUAAGCAUCAGGUAACAUCAAAUCGUACCCCAAACCGACACAGGUGGUCAGGUAGAGAAUACCAAGGCGCUUGAGAGAACUCGGGUGAAGGAACUAGGCAAAAUGGUGCCGUAACUUCGGGAGAAGGCACGCUGGUGUGUAGGUGAAGCCCCUGCGGGUGGAGCUGAGACCAGUCGAAGAUACCAGCUGGCUGCAACUGUUUAUUAAAAACACAGCACUGUGCAAACACGAAAGUGGACGUAUACGGUGUGACGCCUGCCCGGUGCCGGAAGGUUAAUUGAUGGGGUUAUCCGUAAGGAGAAGCUCUUGAUCGAAGCCCCGGUAAACGGCGGCCGUAACUAUAACGGUCCUAAGGUAGCGAAAUUCCUUGUCGGGUAAGUUCCGACCUGCACGAAUGGCGUAAUGAUGGCCAGGCUGUCUCCACCCGAGACUCAGUGAAAUUGAACUCGCUGUGAAGAUGCAGUGUACCCGCGGCAAGACGGAAAGACCCCGUGAACCUUUACUAUAGCUUGACACUGAACAUUGAGCCUUGAUGUGUAGGAUAGGUGGGAGGCUUUGAAGCGUGGACGCCAGUCUGCGUGGAGCCAACCUUGAAAUACCACCCUUUAAUGUUUGAUGUUCUAACGUUGGCCCCUGACCGGGGUUGCGGACAGUGUCUGGUGGGUAGUUUGACUGGGGCGGUCUCCUCCCAAAGCGUAACGGAGGAGCACGAAGGUUAGCUAAUCCUGGUCGGACAUCAGGAGGUUAGUGCAAUGGCAUAAGCUAGCUUGACUGCGAGCGUGACGGCGCGAGCAGGUGCGAAAGCAGGUCAUAGUGAUCCGGUGGUUCUGAAUGGAAGGGCCAUCGCUCAACGGAUAAAAGGUACUCCGGGGAUAACAGGCUGAUACCGCCCAAGAGUUCAUAUCGACGGCGGUGUUUGGCACCUCGAUGUCGGCUCAUCACAUCCUGGGGCUGAAGUAGGUCCCAAGGGUAUGGCUGUUCGCCAUUUAAAGUGGUACGCGAGCUGGGUUUAGAACGUCGUGAGACAGUUCGGUCCCUAUCUGCCGUGGGCGCUGGAGAAUUGAGGGGGGCUGCUCCUAGUACGAGAGGACCGGAGUGGACGCAUCACUGGUGUUCGGGUUGUCAUGCCAAUGGCACUGCCCGGUAGCUAAAUGCGGAAGAGAUAAGUGCUGAAAGCAUCUAAGCACGAAACUUGCCCCGAGAUGAGUUCUCCCUGAGACUUUAAGUCUCCUGAAGGAACGUUGAAGACGACGACGUUGAUAGGCCGGGUGUGUAAGCGCAGCGAUGCGUUGAGCUAACCGGUACUAAUGAACCGUGAGGCUUAACCUU